GAAGUAAAAUGCAAAUUAUAUGUAUUUAUUUAUGUAUGAAUGUUUCAUUGAUGAUGAGAUGUUUCAUGAAUUAGCCAAAAUGUAUUUAGUUUUCCCCCAAAUCCUGUUCCACAGAAAGAUUAUCUGUAGUAAACAGUUUUGAAGCAGACAGUUUGUAGUCCCAGUACGUGAUACAGACAUGUAUAGCUCAUGCUGCCUGCCUGUGAGGAACUUACAGUCUGACUGGAGAUGAAACGUGAAUGCCCACAGACAGAGGAGGAAGGCUCUGCAUGUUCCUGCUGUUGCCCCUUCAUCUGAAGGAGCUGGAGUCAGGGGAGGAUCUGGUGUUUUCAACAAAACACGCAGCCCUCGCAUUGCUUACCCUUGACAGCUGUUCAGAUGCCCGGAACGCUGCUUCUCAUCCACUUCUUCUCUCAUUUUCUUCGACAUGUUGCCUUGCUUGGGGAACAAUCAGUGAUCAAGAGACUAUUUGGCAAGGGCAAGCAAAGUGAGUGGACGUUAGCAGCAGCUAAUCUGCCAAUCACGUGACCCACGACACAGGAAUCUUGCUUGUGGCGGAGUGUCUGGUGUCUUCUUCCUCUGUCUGCAGGGUUGGACACUGAGAGCUGCUGGUCAGAGGGACCUGCCAAACAUGCUGCAAAUCUCAAGUCAGAGAGAGUCUAGGUUGGAAGCCCUUAUCUUGGAUUGUGCUCUGCCUUACCUGAGGAACACACUGGUGGCACUCUGGCAUCCCAGUGGUGAGACAGACACGAAUACCACAGUACUUGAGGAAGUCUGUUCUCUCCUUUCACCAUGUGGGUCGUUGUUUCUACCCAAUGGCUCUUGUGAAUGAUGCUGUACCCCGUUGUAGAGAGCAUCUUUACAUUCCUGGGCUCUGUAAACUUGAAUUCAUAGAUGGUCCCAGCAGCUGAAUAUGUAAGAGGUGACUGGAGAAAAGAAUAAAAAGGGAUGGAUUCUGCCUGGAUGGUCGGGAGGCAUCUCUGAGAAGAUGAAUCAAGUUGACAGGAAUAUCAUCAGUGUUGUGGUCUGGGCCUCCAGCCAUCCGGGCAGCAUGGUUCUACACACCCAGAGUAUUCACCGUCUGUCUCCUGGGAAAGAAAAGAAGAGGAGAGCAUCUCCCCCAUGCCCAAGAUUAUGAAAACUGCCAUAGCAAGGAAUGCACUGCAUUUGGGUCUCAGUGGCAAACGUUCCAGGAGCCACUGACAGUUUCAAAGACAUGCUACUGCAGUCUAUGAUGAACUGUGGAAGACACAAUUUAAAACAUCCAGCAAUGAACAGGCUGGAUAAAGCCCAGUUUUCAUGGAAAGAAUAUUGUAGGACAUGCUGAAUAAAGGCACUUCGGAGAGGAAACAAGUGUCCCAGCAGAUGACCCAAAGGGAGACCAGCUGUGUGACAGGCAGGACUUAGAGAAUGCAUGAGGGUGGGGGAAGACCCCCAGGAUGCUUUGCAUCAGACAGGUGACACCAUCCAGGCCCUGCCUCAUACUUAGCCUGGUAUCUGAGAGCCACUUGGGAAUUUUCCAGUCUUUUAAUGUUGCCUUCUUCUGCCCCUACCAUCCAUACCCACCUUCACACACAAAGUGGGGGAUAGUCUGUUCCCAGAACCCUUCACCAAAGGUGCCAUACUCCUUUCUGUAGUCUUGUUACUAGAGUACCAGGGUUUAGGAGGCACCAAAUGACAAAGCAGCUCCUGUCUUGUUGUUGGUUUGGAGGUUGUAAGACUGAGGCCGAGGUGCUGGCAGGACCUCAAGCCCUCCGCUUGGAGCAAAGGAUGGAGAUGCUGGUCUCUGCCUCUAUCCUAGCUGCCCCUUCACUGGUGGAUGCUUCUCCAUCUCUCCUUCUGACCUCAUACGACUUCCCAAGCCAUCAUUCUGUGGGCAUCUGUGUCUUCUCAUCUUAAGGACACAGAUCCUAUUUGAUUAGUCCCAAUCUAAUGGCUUCAUCUUAAUUUGAUUACCUUUACAAAGGCACAAAUACAUGGCUAGAUACAUGGCCACAGAGCUGUAGGAAAGCCUGGAAUGAAGGCUUCAGGUGCCUGGAGCCUGGGAGCUGGCUCUGGAGGUCAUAUCACUCAAAACAGCUGCUGCAGGGCAGAAGGACAUUUUUGCCUGUACAAGUGAUUUUGCUUGCUUUAUUUUUGAGACGGGGUCUCACUAUGUAGCCCUGGCUUACCCAGAACUCACUAUGUAAACUAGGCUGUCUUCCAUCUCAGAAAGAUCCACCUGCCUCAGCCUUCAUCUAGGAGAGACUUCAUUUCAGCUCUGAGGCCAUGUAUCUGGAAAUUGUGUCUUUGCAAAGGCAAUCAAACUAAUUCAUUCCACCAAUUUCUGGGUGGAACGAAAGGUGCGUGCCACCAUACCUAGCCUUUGCUGACAAUUUUACGAACCCCAGGGGCCUCAGACAGACUCUUCCUCUGUUCUCUAGGGGAACUCUCUUAUGUUUACGUACUUAUUGACCCUUGGGAUUUAGCUGGCGACAAAGCAGGGUUGGAGACCAUUACACUCUUCUAUGGAUGAACAGUAUCUUGUGCUUUCUGGAGCAGCCAUUGUGGGAGGGGCUGGAGGAGUGUCUCUAGGGAAGAGCUGUGGGACCCUCCCUGGGGAGAGGUGGGAGUGCAUGACAAGAGCCAGAGGGGUGGAACAGUGGCCAGAUGUGGGAGGUGAAGGUCCCAAGAAGCUGAAGAUUCGAGCUGCUAGAUCUGUACAGGCUGCAUAGGAGACAGGGGGAGCAGAUUAAGCCAACUACCCAACUGAAGACAGAGCCUUUAGGUUUGGGAUUAGGGCAGCCUCGGGGCAGGGGACCUUCCUGGUCAACUACAGGACACUGGUUUAUGUAACAGGUUUAUGUAAUACUGUUAUGUAAUGUCAUUAGAGGCAUUGCAAAUUGUAUUCUACUUGAGGCUCUGCAGAAGCCAGACCAGGGAUCCCUUCCAACCCUGCAAGACAGGCCCUGGGGGGUCUGAGCCCUCUUUCUCUACCAGGAUUUCUGUCCAGGACUCCCUUCCCAUGGUCUUCAGGGUCUUCCUACAGGAUAUGGAUUUUAGACAGAUGAGGCCAACUCCAUCCUGAGGAUCCCUGGGAUCUUUCCUCUGCAGAACAACCCACAGGCCCACUCAGAUGCCUCCCCUCCCCCAACCCUUACAUUUGUACUCCCAAUGCUGUCACCCUGGGAAUGUUCUAGAACAUGGGUCUCUAAACUUUUGUGGACCACUAUAUAUUUUUAAAUGUUUAUUAAUUAUGCAUUAAUUAAUCACAAUUAAUGCAUAAUAAUUGUACAUACUGUUGGUGUGGGUGGUUCACUGCUCUGCAUUCAGUUCCACGGGGCUCAGCUUCCUCACGUGAGAGAAAAUGUGCAGCAGUGCCCUUCUGUUUCCAUUCCUUUUACUCAACGCCUUUCAGUAGCAAAUGGCAGUACUUCACUUCUCCUUGAGGCUGCAUAAUAUUCCCUGUGUACAUAGACUACAUGUUCCUUACCCACGAUUCAGUCAGUGGGCACCUACGCUUUUUUUUUUUUAAAUAUGGUGCCAUGAUAAACAUGGAUGCUUCUUUCAAAAUAACGUGUUGAAAUAAGAUUGUAUAUAAAUUCAGAGCCCAUUAUCCACUCUUAAUCAUAUCCAUGUGCCCUCAUGGGUUCUCAGGGCUGUUGAAAGAAUCUCUGUUCUCAUGCUACGUACAAGACAAUUUGGGCUUAGAGAAGGUGAGAUGAUUCCACAGGGCCGCAGGUGGGAGGAAGGGCAUGAUGAGCCCACAGUGUGGUAGCACAGGCGCUGUUUACAGGUUUCUGGCUCCCAAUGUGACCUGUGCCUACCACAACAGAGCCUAAAAGGAAUAUUCUGGAACAGGUGGGUGUGCACAAGUUUCUGCCUGAUACCAUUGAGACUGCUCAGUGAAUGGUCUCUUGCUUGUUCUCUGCUUCUUCUCUACCAGGACACAUGGUAUAAGAGGACAGGGGUUAUGAAA